AUUAAAACACCGAUUCCCGUACGAUUAGCGAAGUUAAGCAACGUCGAGCCUGGUUAGUAUGAUGACCACUUGGGAAUACAAGGUGCUGUA